rnacentral:rRNA from 1 species
UACAGAGGGGGCAAGCGUUGUUCGGAAUUACUGGGCGUAAAGGGCGCGUAGGCGGCCUGUUAAGUCGGACGUGAAAUCCCUCGGCUCAACCGGGGAACUGCGUCCGAUACUGGCGGGCUUGAAUUCGGGAGAGGGAUGUGGAAUUCCAGGUGUAGCGGUGAAAUGCGUGGAUAUCUGGAGGAACACCGGUGGCGAAGGCGGCAUCCUGGACCGACAUUGACGCUGAGGCGCGAAAGCCAGGGGAGCAAACGGG